CUAUAACAAAGGGAAGCGAAACCGCGAGGUGGAGCAAAACCCAAAAAAGUAAGUCCCAGUUCGGAUUGAAGGCUGAAAUUCGCCUUCAUGAAGCCGGAAUUGCUAGUAAUGGCAGGUCAGCAUACUGCCGUGAAUACGUUCCCGGACCUUGUACACACCGCCCGUCACACCAUGAGAGUUGGGAAUACCCGAAGCCUGUGAGCUAACUUUUAGAGGCAGCAGUCGAAGGUAGAAUCAAUGAUUGGGGUGAAGUCGUAACAAGGUAGC
rnacentral:rRNA from 1 species